rnacentral:sRNA from 1 species
CGCUAGCCCCGAUUGCAAUGAAAAUCCCGCAGUGUAGCGAUAGCGCAACGAGGAAUUGUAAUGAAAAACGGGAAACCAC